UACGUAGGGGGCUAGCGUUGUCCGGAUUUAUUGGGCGUAAAGAGCGUGUAGGCGGCCAGGUAGGUCUGCUGUGAAAACUCGAGGCUCAACCUCGAGACGUCGGCGGAAACCAUCUGGCUAGAGUCCGGAAGAGGAGAGUGGAAUUCCUGGUGGUAGCGGUGAAAUGCGCAGAUAUCAGGAAGAACACCCGUGGCGAAGGCGGCUCUCUGGGGACGGUACUGACGCUGAGACGCGAAAGCGUGGGGAGCGAACAGG
rnacentral:rRNA from 1 species